rnacentral:rRNA from 1 species
UCUGCAACUCGACUACAUGAAGCUGGAAUCGCUAGUAAUCGCAGAUCAGAAUGCUGCGGUGAAUACGUUCCCGGGUCUUGUACACACCGCCCGUCACACCAUGGGAGUCGGAAAUGCCCGAAGCCGGUGACCCAACCAAAAGGAGGGAGCCGUCGAAGGNAGGUCUGAUAACUGGGGUGAAGUCGUAACAAGGUAGC